rnacentral:rRNA from 1 species
AUGUUAAAUAUGCAUGCAUUUAGUUUUUUUACACCGUCAAAAUGGGUCGCGCACGCGCCGGCCGAAACGCGGAAGUGGACGCUCGUGUUCGCCUGGCCGACCCAAACGGACAAAAAGCGGACAAAAUCGCCGUCCAUUUGGGUCGGCCUGUUGGAGUUGCUCCAAGAAAACCAAACACUACAAAAGAGCCACCAUGGUUAUGUCAAAAUCAUAUUUUUUAAAGGAAUACCUGAAGAACAAUUAGUUCUAAUAACCCAGCUUAGCUUACAUAAGGCACCACAUAUGUUGCAUCUUCCACUUGAAUCCCAUGAAGGGCUUUGCCAUAUCUUGAUCAUCUGGAAACAAUAA